AUUGAACGCUGGCGGCAUGCUUUACACAUGCAAGUCGAACGGUAACAGGGAGCUUGCUCCGCUGACGAGUGGCGAACGGGUGAGUAAUGCGUCGGAACGUGCCGAGUAGUGGGGGAUAACGCAUCGAAAGGUGUGCUAAUACCGCAUACGUACUGAGGUAGAAAGUGGGGGACCUUCGGGCCUCACGCUAUUCGAGCGGCCGACGUCGGAUUAGCUAGUUGGUGAGGUAAAGGCUCACCAAGGCGACGAUCAGUAGCGGGUCUGAGAGGAUGAUCCGCCACACUGGGACUGAGACACGGCCCAGACUCCUACGGGAGGCAGCAGUGGGGAAUUUUGGACAAUGGGCGCAAGCCUGAUCCAGCCAUGCCGCGUGCCUGAAGAAGGCCUUCGGGUUGUAAAGGACUUUUGUCCGGGAGCAAAUGCCUGGUGUUAAUAGCACUGGGAGCUGAGAGUACCGGAAGAAUAAGCACCGGCUAACUACGUGCCAGCAGCCGCAGUAACAC
rnacentral:rRNA from 1 species